GCCUAGCUCAAUCGGUAGAGAAACUGACUUGUAAUCAGUAGGUUGGGGGUUUAAGUCCUUUGGUCGGCA
rnacentral:tRNA from 1 species